CAUUGUCUCCACCAUCAGAGGAACAAGAUGAAUGUUGCAGCCUUUAUUCAGACAUGGCAGAGAGCAAGAACAAAGCUGAACUGCUUAAUGGUUGUCUGGUGUGUGUGUGUGUGUGUGUGUG